CACACCUCUCAAUACUGCAACAUUGGGGGUUAAAUUGCACCAUGAGUUUUGGAGGUGAUGUUCAAUCCAUAGCAGCAUGUUAGAAUUCACAUGAGUAAGAAUGAAAUUGUUAUUGCAAUAUAUUCAGGUGCCUCGACCAAUGAGAACAUUUCCUCAACAUUCCUGAUUGCUGCUGUCUGUUUUUUAUGUUAUUACAACUGUUGUUCACUGAUUGGCUUCCCUUUACAGAUGCUGCAGACUGGAAAGCUCAGAUGAUGAGCUAACCUUAUUUUAUUCUCUUCUCGCUGUGAUCAAAGUCCUGAAAAGCCUGUUAUUGAAUGUCUAAAAACAGUUGUUUCAUGUAUCUUAUUUUUUCAGUUGUUUAUAGUGGAAAGACAAGUCUAGUAAACCAGUUACUCCAUCCUGGUGGAAGUAAAUAUGUCUCCAUAAAUAUUUUUGGUCGAAUGAAUGAUAAAAUGCCAAAGAACCCUUAGAACUUUAUCCCUGUUUUCUGCCAAACUUCAUUUGUGGUCUUUUAGAGAUUAAAGAUACUUUUCCUUUAGGGCUAAAAUUUCAAUUAUAGCUCCUGUCCCUUUGAUCUUUUCUCUGCAGUGCCUAAAUCCCAAAUCGCCACCAGGGUGGUAUUCAGCUGCUUAGUGUAGAAAAAAAGCUACUGUUACAUGGAUUUUUUUUUAGGACAUAAAUAUGUAUAGUUUACUAAAUUACAAUAAAACCAGAGAAUUUUAUCUGGCUUAGAGUCUGUCCCGAGCUUCCUAAAAUGUCUAGUGUCUUAUUCUCUUACAGUCCUCUUCCUUCAUUCCACUAAUCCUGGACACCAAAGAAACAAAUGUCUUCCCAUCUGUUUUCUCUAAUUCUCAGCCUGGAGCACUGGUCCAGUGACCUCCAAACCUUUUUUCAUCAUGUACCCUUAUCAAUAAAGAAAGUUUGAAAAGCCAAUAUUUCAAUGUACACAUGUAUUAAACAUAUCCUACUGAAAGAAUAUGUAUUAUGUACAUAAUAAAACAUCCACAAAGUGAACCGAAAAUAUAAAAUUAAAAAUUCUAAUUUUUCCAUCUUGUAUCCCAGUGGAUAAAUUUGCACCCUCUAAGGGAUGCUCACACCCCAUUUUAAGAUGAAUGCCUUGCAAUGCAGAACAAAGUGCAAAUGAGCCAACCCCCUGCAGUGCUAAAUCUCCCUUGGCUCCCCUCUUGGUAAUAUUUUAAAACUAGACUUUAAUGGUUUUUUUAGUUUCUU
rnacentral:lncRNA from 10 species